CCCACUGGCAGCUUAAGGUUUAUAGCAGGUAACUGAUGCUGAGAGGUUGUACAGUAGCUUAAGGUUUAUAGCAGGUUACUGAUGCUGAGAGGUUGUACAGUAGCUUAAGGUUUAUAGCAGGUUACUGAUGCUGAGAGGUUGUACAGUAGCUUAAGGUUUAUAGCAGGUUACUGAUGCUGAGAGGUUGUACAGUAACUUAAGGUUUAUAGCAGGUAACUGAUGCUGAGAGGUUGUACAGUAGCUUAAGGUUUAUAGCAGGCUACUGAUGCUGAGAGGUUGUACAGUAUGGUACAGUAGCUUAAGGUUUAUAGCAGGUUACUGAUGCUGAGAGGUUGUACAGUAACUUAAGGUUUAUAGCAGGUAACUGAUGCUGAGAGGUUGUACAGUAGCUUAAGGUUUAUAGCAGGUAACUGAUGCUGAGAGGUUGUACAGUAGCUUAAGGUUUAUAGCAGGUUACUGAUGCUGAGAGGUUGUACAGUAGCUUAAGGUUUAUA
rnacentral:lncRNA from 13 species